UUCAUUUGAAAUGACUCUUCAUCGCUUCUUGGCCUUUUGGCUAAGAUCAAGUGUGAAAUAACUCUUCAUUACAAGUGGCCUUGUCCUCACGUGUCACCCGUGACACCCCUGAA
rnacentral:miRNA from 1 species